rnacentral:rRNA from 1 species
AAUGAACGCUGGCGGCGUGCCUAACACAUGCAAGUCGAACGAGAAAGUGGACUUCGGUCCACCGGUACAGUGGCAUACGGGUGAGUAACACGUGGACAACCUGCCCGGAAGUGGGGGACAACUCUCCGAAAGGAGAGCUAAUACCGCAUAAUAUCUAUGGAGCUUCGGCUCCGUUGAUCAAAGUUUGCCUCUGUUUCAUGCAAACGCUACCGGAGGGGUCCGCGCCCCAUUAGCUUGAUGGUGGGGUAACGGCUCACCAUGGCUACGAUGGGUAGCCGGCCUGAGAGGGUGAUCGGCCACACUGGAACUGAGACACGGUCCAG